GGUGAAAGAAUGCAAUUAAAUCCUCUCCAAUUCACACAGAACCAAAGACAGUGAAAAGACCUUUAAAACGCAAAGUUCCUAUAAAAGAUUCAUUGGGUAUUUGUAACCUCUCAAACUACAGACAUCAUCAAGCAUCUCAUGCUCUCUCAAAAACUGUUAAACAGCCUUUUUACCCCACAGUAAUGAACGCACAGCACCAACUCUGCUGACGAGAAAGCGAUUCCAUUUUGCUCAAACAGACUCCGAUCAAAACCUCACCACCUUCCCCUCAACUAUGGGAAUGAACCCAAACCAAUAAGAAGCUCCUUAGAGGAUAUGCAAUGAUCUCAGAGAAUUAAAACAACAUCCUGCCCGAAGGACCACAAUCAAAACAGCACCGACUUGAAAUCCAAAGCCAGGUCCCUGGCGAAGAAAGCGCUUUAAUGUGCUCUCCACGUCCCCGGGUGCGAGUUUCCAGCUCGACUACUAGGCCAUGACUGGAUGAGGGUGGAUGUUCCUAGUGGAGAAAUGAAAAGAAGUAGCUUCUCUAGGCAGUUAUUGAGUGACCCAGACCAAAGGGAACAGUGCCAUCUGUUAUUCAUGCCUGCUGAGAUUCUUCAAGGCGUUAUAAUCCCCACUCUAGCCCACAGGAAGACAAACAGGGCAUGGACAUUGGUGGAGGUUUUGUGGACCAGGCUUAUUAGCCCUGUGAGGGCUGCAACUUUCACCUUCUACUGGAGAAAGUGGAGUCCACUGUUCCCUCUAACUACAAGGGACACUGAGCAUGUGGCUGCUCAGAUACUACAGAAGAAGUAGAUAAAGGAUUCUGGUGGACAGUUAACAGUCCCUGAAAGCAAAAGAAAAAACCCCUGGGAGAAUAUGCACCUAACUCUACUCCUGAUAGCUCCUGAGGUGGUGCAAACCCGGGGCCUCACACAUGCUAAGCGAGCGUUCCACUGCUGAACCACAACC